rnacentral:rRNA from 1 species
AUGCAAGAUCAGACGGCCACCACGACGAGCUCGCCGCCUUCCAGCAGCGACAGGUCGUCCAGCUCCAACUCCAAGGAAGGGAUGGACAGUGACGACGACAUAGGGAGGGUGCCGGAGUUCCGGCUGGACCAGGGAGGACCAUCGACGUCGGGAAGGGAGGCAGCGGCCGCCGGGACGUCGUCCGAGCUCGCGCAGUCGGUGGCGGCGGCUGCCCAGGCCAGCUCCCGCCGCCGCGGCCGCAGCCCGGCCGACAAGGAACACCGGCGACUCAAAAGAUUGUUGAGGAACCGGGUGUCGGCGCAGCAGGCACGGGAGAGGAAGAAGGCAUACAUGGGCGAGCUGGAGGUGAAGGUGAAGGACUUGGAGACGAGAAACUCGGAGCUCGAGGAGAGGCUCUCGACGCUGCAGAAUGAGAACCAAAUGCUUAGACAGAUACUGAAAAACACCACCGGUAACAGGAGAGGACCGGGUAGCGGUGCCGGUGCCGGCGGGGACAGCUAG